rnacentral:rRNA from 1 species
AACUUAACCUAGGCUUGACAUGUUUCGGACAGCCCCAGAGAUGGGGUCUCCCUUCGGGGCCGAUUCACAGGUGGUGCAUGGUCGUCGUCAGCUCGUGUCGUGAGAUGUUGGGUUAAGUCCCGCAACGAGCGCAACCCUCGCCUUGUGUUGCCAGCACGUUAUGGUGGGAACUCACAAGGGACCGCCGGGGUUAACUCGGAGGAAGGUGGGGAUGACGUCAGAUCAUCAUGCCCCUUACGUCUAGGGCUUCACGCAUGCUACAAUGGCCGGUACAACGAGAUGCGACAUGGCGACAUGAAGCGAAUCUCUUAAAACCGGUCUCAGUUCGGAUUGGAGCCUGCAACUCGGCUCCAUGAAGGCGGAGUCGCUAGUAAUCGCGAAUCAGCAACGUCGCGGUGAAUGCGUUCCCGGGUCUUGUACACACCGCCU